rnacentral:lncRNA from 1 species
UCAAUGAUCCUAAACAAAACUUCAUCUGCAAGCCUAAGUGCAGGUCCUAGACACAACAAGACUCUGUGAGGAGAGAGAAGAGAGAGGGAGAUGAAGAAGGAGACAGGGAAUUUGCACUCACAAAGGUGCCCGAAGCCUGAGGACGCACCCUUGGGUACCGGGCACACCUGCUGUGGGGCUGACACGUGGCUCCUUCAGGUAGGUCUGGAUUGUUCGUUUGUUAGCUCAUUCAGCACAGGGAGCUGCAGGGAGUUAAACAGACUCUGAUGGCUUUUACUCAUCGAGCAAUUCCUGCCCUGAAUCUGCAUAAUGCUUCUACCACGAAUCAUCACUUUUGCACAAGUAGAAAUAGUGGAAGCAACAACUUUCAGAAAAAUGCUUGGUUCCAUGACUUUCACUUGUUUCCAAGCCAAGGAAGCAGCACCACCGGCUUGGCACCUGCCCUUGGGGUCCAGGCUACUUGGGGACUGUCUGACCUUAGGUCAGAUGGGCAAGCUGGUGGGCUCUAACACUUUCCUUUGUGAUCGCUGUGCCCAAAUGUGCCCCCACUGGGCCAGGAGACUCAAGGCCACACUACUGAUGUGGAACCAGUAUUCAGCAACUUGCUGAAAAAUGAAGCACGCAUUUCCAUUGCUAUCUAAAGAUGGAUCUUACUCCAAUUAUAGAUCCCCCCAUACUCAUAUUCAUCUGUGUAACAGUACACAGCAUCUACUUCAGAAUUUAUUUGGGCAAAUGUUUAUGGUAAACUGAGGCAAACAUCUGUACAGUUCACCAGAAAGAUAAGAAAUUGAGGAAAAAUAUCUUGCAGGAAUUAUCUAUGUAAUUACUUCAGAUUUCUGUAUGACGUGUAGUUCUACUUGGAAUAAAAUACUAAAACUUUAUCUAUUAACAGAUAUCUAUUUGCUAAGAAUAUUAAUUUUUUUGACUUUCAAAGUAUAUCUGACCACACAGCCAGUCAAAUAUCAUGACUUUUUCUUGAAUGCAUAUAAAUACUGAUAUUAUAAAAUCCUGGGUUUUUAUAUAAGGCAUAACGUCCAACUCUAUCUGCACAGAUAUCCACAUUAGCUGUGUUUUGACUUGUUAUUCAGAAAACAUUGAUGCUAGCUUCAUACAAAUUAUUUCCUUUACUUUUCCAAUAAGUAUCAAAAUAGAGGCUAGAAAUGAAAGGGUAGAAACUGCAAAUGAAAAGCUAUAUAUUUGUAAAUAAAAUGUGAAGACAUCUGCCAAACUAAGGGGCGUAUGUACAUCUUUAUGGCAACUUUCCCAUUACAUGAGUAGCUCAGGUACUUUUACAAAAACAUUAAGUGAUAAAUCCAUGUGAGGAUAAAUGCAGUAAUGUGCAUGUGAGCAUACACAUAUAUGUGCACACACAGAUGGCAAAUUUACAAAGCAUGUCAGAUAGCUGGUGACCACUAUUGAAUUAAGAAUAGCAGAUUACUGAGUCACCCCAGAUUCCAUUAUAUUCAUACAUAAAUUGUGCAUUUAUAAAAAUCUUACAAAUAAUUUUCCCAGGAAGACAUUAUGGGUAACAAUUUAACACAUGUAAUAAGAAAACAUCUUAACAUCUUAAAAUCACAAUUAGAUAAAUUAAACAGUUCAAUAAGCAUAUGGCUAUCAUGAGUAAAGAAUUCUAUUUAGAAAGACUUCUCCAUUUUUUAUGUUUGAAAGAGUGGCAUGUUCCUUAAAUUUUUCAUCCUAACAUAUUGUUUGUAAGCUUUGUCUUAAUGGAAGGAAAGUAAAGCAUUUUGAAAUACAACCCAAUAGAAAGCCAAACACACAUUCCGAUCAGUCAUUCAUAUGAAGAGAAGUUUAAAGGUACUGCAAAAUUGAAAGUAGGUUUGUUGUCAAAUCCUGUAAACUGGAUAGACUGUUUGAAUUAACAGACGGCUAACUCUAUUGAACUGAACAGUUUUACCAAGACGUGAUGGAAACUUGGUUGACAACGUGUUGUGUUCUGAGAAGAAUGAGGCCACCUGAUGCAAAAGUGGACGCGGGAUCAAACUGGGAAGAAAUCUUUCAUGUCAGUUUUCUGAGACUAUUCAUACUCAUCUGUGUCACGGUAACAGCAUAUCUCAUCUUAAAAGUGAAAUGCUAAGUGUCUGAGGAACAGGUUGUACUGCUCAAUGACCAGGGUAAUCAGCACGAACCUAACAUUUAUCCUGAUAAUAACCAGUGAAUGUGCAAAGGGGAAGAGACAGACUUACUGCAUCCAUGAAAACACCGUGUCCCUCUUUAACAUUUAUAAUAUCUAUAUAUAGCACUAUAUUUCAUUAUUAAAGACACAGACAGCAAAAAUAUUCACAUUUAAACUUCUUACAGAAGUUAUUCUUCUAUUGAGGAAAACCGAUUACACUAACUAACGGGCAACCAAACAGGGAAUUCUGCUCGGGAGACUUAUUCAGCUGAGGGUUUCUUUUUAAAAUACAGUUUAGAAAAGUAAUGAAAGAGGUCCCAGGUAUAUUUUCCAUUUGGAGGUCAUCCCUUUCAAUCUGAGUUAUGGUUCAUGGGUAAAGUCAGAGCUUUUGGUGAAAUAAAUGAAUAAUGCCAAUUUAUUUCUUAUAAACAAAUGCGUACAUCAAAAAACUGGAAUUGCUGCACAGCGCCUGGCAAGAUGAGUGAGAUGACUAAGGACGAAGUGGUUCCUUGAGCCCCUGUCUUUAGACCUGGCGCCCUCCUCAGAAGGCCCGCAGGUGUGAGUCCUGGGCUGGGGCUCCAUCGCUCUGAGAGGGCUGCCUUCUUUCCAGUCCAGCUCUCCUACCCGCUCUUUUACCGCGGAGAUGAGGAGUAGCCAAAGCGUAAUAAUUACGCUUAAUAUACAUAUAUGAGUGGAGCUAUAGAAUAGUGGGGAUCAUAGUGGGUAAGAGUGUUUGGUGUGCAAACUUGUGGCUACCACCCCCAACACAAGCACACAAGCGCACACACAUUUAGUAUGUAAAACGGAAGUGUAAUUAACGGGUUCACCACUCUUGUACAGUAUUUCUCAAGGUAGAGUUCACAGACCAAAGGAGAUCCUUACAAAUGCUUAAGACCUUGGUAUCACUGCUUUAAGCAAACACAGACUCCUGUGCCUCAUGGCAAAUAAGAAACAAAAAUAAAAGACAAUGACUAAUUCUGAAAAAUACAUGACAACUCCCCCCAUAUUGGACUUCGUCUUCUUACAUUACCUAUUUAUGGCCUAUUUGUAUCAAAUAGUGUUUCCAAGGAAAAAGAAUUAUAGUACAUAGUGGAAAAACCAGUGUCAAAUGCUAUUAUGCGUGCCAAAGUCAAGUAGCCAUGAUUUGUGGUACUGCUUAGAAUCAGCAGUGAUAAUCACGGAGCAAAAACUGUAAUGACUUCCCCUGGGAAGACUACUACGAUUACUGUGCACUUCAGGGAGAUGAGAAGCAUCCAGGGCUGGGAAGGUGAGUGUGCAGUCUGUACCUCAUUUCCGCUGGAGAAGGGAGAAGGGAGAGGCCGGACCCACGGAGAAGGCCGGAAGGAGCCCAGCAGGAGCCCAGCCGGGCUGCUGGAUGGGAUUAAGGGCGGCGGCAGCGCCCCCUGGCGAGGGACCCGCUCUGAGCGCCAAGGGCGGGAGAAAAGGCGCCCCAGGUGGGGCUUCCUCAGGCCCAGAGGGGGCUUUGUGGCUUUCACCUGCUGUCUUUUAAACUCAAGCAAUCGGGUUAACCGAAUGACCCUAGGAAGUGCGACGGAGUUCAGGUAUCUUAGAGAAUCACGACCACAGAAGUGGAAGGGUUUCCCCAUUUCAUUCCUGGAGGAAAAGGGAUGUCGGGCACUUUCCAUGGCUGAGGGAACAGAAUGGAUUUCUGAGUCUUUGGGCAGUAGAGAAAUCUUAACCUCGGAUGGAUGCCUGACUGUAGAAUUCCUAUUCCUCGGCAGCGGAGUCCAAGCUUCCGCAUUCUUACAGGGACACUGGUGCCCCCAGACUGUGGCACCCCCGGUCAGCAGUGCGCUCUGCCCCGUGCCCAGGGACAGCCCUGUUGCCGGUGAGGUCAGCGCAGCUGGGGAAGGAGGACGCGCGUUUCGCUGCAAUAAGCAGAGUGAAAAGAGCUCAUGUUUUCACCUACGUUUUACGUGUGUAUUUCAAGUUCAGUGUAGGCAAGAACUGCUGAUAUUAUCACUGUGGGCGAGGUACAUAAAAACCCUAGGAACUGGCAUCACAUAUCGAGACCAACGCAAAUACAUUUAUAGCGAUGGAAAACAUAAAAGAAAUGUUAAAUGUUUUUAUCAUAAGAAAAAAUGAAGUUAAAUGAUCCAAAACCUGAACAAAAAUUAAUGCAGAUACUCAGUACAUGAGAAAAUUAUUUGGAUAUAAAAAGU